rfam:Salmo salar isolate Sally breed double haploid chromosome ssa15, whole genome shotgun sequence.
AAUGCACCAAUUUGUAAGUCGCUCUGGAUAAGAGCGUCUGCUAUAUGACUUAAA